rnacentral:rRNA from 1 species
CCUACGGGAGGCAGCAGUAGGGAAUCUUCCACAAUGGGCGAAAGCCUGAUGGAGCAACGCCGCGUGGGUGAAGAAGGUCUUCGGAUCGUAAAACCCUGUUGUUAGAGAAGCAAGUGCUUGAGAGUAACUGUUCACGUUUCGACGGUAUCUACCCAGAACGCCACGUCUAACUACGUGCCAGCAGCCACGGUAAUACGGAGGUGGCAAGCGUUGUCCGGAUUUAUUGGGCGUAAAGGGAACGCAGGCGGUCUUUUAAGUCUGAUGUGAAAGCCGUCGGCUUAACCGGAGUAGUUCAUUGGAAACUGGGAGACUUGAGUGCAGAAGAGGAGAGUGGAACUCAAUGUGUAGCGGUGAAAUGCGUAGAUAUAUGGAAGAACACCAGUGGCGAAAGCGGCUUGCUGGGCUGUAACUGACGCUGAGGUUCGAAAGCGUGGGUAGCAAACAGGAUUAGAGACCCCGGUAGUC